GCUAGUUUUUACAUAAUUUUUAUUUGAUUACUCUGUGGAUAAAAUCGACUAAACAGAAAUAUCUGAAAAUUUAAAAGUAACUUCGUUAUAAGUCGUACUUUUUUUGCUGUAAUCCUGUUAUAAAUACACGUAGAAACUUGCAACUCGGUAAUAAUACUUAUAUUGGACUUAUCUAGACGUGUUAAAAUUUAAUUUAAACGAAAAACGUAAAAAAAAAAAAAUGACCGCACUUAAAAUUAUUUAUUACCGAACUGCGCUCGGAAUCGUCUUUCGUCAAUCAAUUGUUUAUCGUUGCUUACAGAUAUAAAUGAAAUAAC